AUUUUAGCGAUUGAAUUUUCCGCCUAGCCUCGAUCAUCAUUACUAAAGUCGAAAAAUAACCAAGAGCAACCUUUACAUCACCUAAUCGGUUUCAGAAAGUAAUUCAUCAUGAUGACUGGAAAGGUUGAACAUCCAAUAGAACAUAAGGUCUUCCUACAGGCAGUCUUAGUCCUGCAUUAAUAUUGUAAAAAUAUGAUGUGGUGGGUGAAGUCAGAAAGCACCUGGAAACGAGAAAUAAAUAUAUGUUUUUUGUGAACCACGCUAAGAUGUCUAAAUCCACAUUGUUGUUGGAGAAGAUUAGUUAUCCCUGGCCUUUGAAGACGCUCAAGAUUUAGAAAAAUGCUGUGAGAAUAAGAGCACGCUAAUCUAUUCUAUUCAAAUACAUGCAAAUUCUUUCACGUCUAUAUCAAGGGCUACAGGUUUAUGUAAG